rnacentral:sRNA from 1 species
GCUCUCCCAACUGAGCUAUCCCCGCUACUU